UAAUAAGUGUUUUUAUGGCACUUUUUAAAUCCAUAUCCACCUUGUGUGCAAUGUCAGUCGAUCUUCUUCAUGGAGAUCGACCAAACAUCAACCUUUAUCUUUUAACUCUUUGUCUUAAAAAUAUUAUGAAUAAACAAUUCAAAAUA
rnacentral:misc_RNA from 1 species